rnacentral:rRNA from 1 species
GACGAACGCUGGCGGCGUGCUUAACACAUGCAAGUGGUGCGACGAACCAGGCUUCGGCCUGGGGCAGAGCCGCGAACAGGUGAGUAACACGUGGGUGAUCUGCCCUGCACUUCGGGAUAAGCCUGGGAAACUGGGUCUAAUACCGGAUAGGACUCCGGACUGCAUGGUCUGGGGUGGAAAGCUAUUGCGGUGUGGGAUGGGCCCGCGGCCUAUCAGCUUGUUGGUGGGGUGAUGGCCUACCAAGGCGACGACGGGUAGCCGGCCUGAGAGGGUGACCGGCCACACUGGGACUGAGAUACGGCCCAGACUCCUACGGGAGGCAGCAGUGGGGAAUAUUGCACAAUGGGCGCAAGCCUGAUGCAGCGACGCCGCGUGAGGGAUGACGGCCUUCGGGUUGUAAACCUCUUUCAGCAUCGACGAAGCGAAAGUGACGGUAGGUGCAGAAGAAGGACCGGCCAACUACGUGCCAGCCGCCGCCGUAA